rnacentral:tRNA from 1 species
GUAGGUAUAGCUCAGUGGUAGAGCGCAUGCUUAGCAUGCAUGAGGUCCUGGGUCCCAUCCCCAGUACCUCCA